CCUACGGGAGGCUGCAGUCGAGAAUCUUCCACAAUGGACGAAAGUCUGAUGGAGCGACGCCGCGUGAUCGAUGAAGUGCUUCGGUAUGUAAAGAUCUUUUAUGAGGGAAGAAGUUUAUUGACGGUACCUCAUGAAUAAGGACCUGCAAAACUCGUGCCAGCAGCAGCGGUAAUACGAGUGGUCCAAGCGUUAUCCGGAAUUAUUGGGCGUAAAGGGUGUGUAGGUGGUUUUGUUAGUCGUCUGUCUAACCCCCUUGGCUUAACCAGGGAAAAGCAGACGAAACGGCAAAGCUAGAGUAUGUUAGGGGUGAGCGGAACUCAUAGUGUAGGGGUGAAAUCCGUUGAUAUUAUGGGGAACACCAAAAGCGAAGGCAGCUCACUGGGACAUUACUGACACUGAAACACGAAAGCGUGGGUAGCGAAUGGGAUUAGAUACCCUUGUAGUC
rnacentral:rRNA from 1 species